GACGAAGGAUGCAAGCGUUAUCCGGAUUCAUUGGGUUUAAAGGGUGCGUAGGCGGCCCGGUAAGUCAGUGGUGAAAUCUCCUUGCUUAACAAGGAAACUGCCAUUGAUACUGCUGGGCUUGAGUACAGAUGCUGUGGGCGGAAUAUGACAUGUAGUGGUGAAAUACAUAGAGAUGUCAUAGAACACCGAUUUGCGAAGGCAGCUCACAAACUGUAAACUGACGCUGAGGCACGAAAGUGCGGGAUCAAACAGGG
rnacentral:rRNA from 1 species